AUGAUCAUUGCUCGUGGAACACCUGGGUUUUCCGGUGCUGACCUUGCAAACUUGGUUAAUGUUGCUGCUCUCAAGGCUGCCAUGGAUGGUGCUAAAGCUGUAACCAUGAAUGAUUUAGAGUUUGCAAAGGACAAGAUUAUGAUGGGAAGUGAACGCAAGUCAGCUGUUAUAUCCAAGGAGUCAAGAAAGAUGACUGCUUUCCAUGAGGGAGGUCACGCCCUAGUGGCAAUUCAUACAGAUGGAGCACUUCCUGUUCACAAGGCAACUAUAGUUCCUCGUGGGAUGGCUCUUGGUAUGGUUCAUCAAUUACCUGACAAGGAUCAGACCAGUAUCUCACGAAAACAGAUGCUUGCCCGACUUGAUGUUUCCAUGGGAGGUCGGGUGGCUGAAGAGCUUAUUUUUGGAGAAAGCGAAGUUACUUCUGGUGCAUCCUCAGAUCUUUCUCAGGCAACUAAGUUGGCUAGGGCAAUGGUUACCAAAUAUGGUAUGAGUAGUGAAGUCGGACUCGUUACCCACAACUACAAUGAUGACGGGAGAAGCAUGAGCUCGGAAACUAGGUUGCUUAUUGAGAAAGAGGUGAAGAACUUGCUGGAGACUGCUUACAACAAUGCAAAAACUAUUCUAACCACCCACAAUAAGGAGCUUCAUGCGCUUGCAAAUGCUCUUCUGGAGCAUGAGACACUCACGGGGAAUCAGAUAAAGGCUUUGCUUGAAAAUGUCAACUCCCAUCAGCAACAGCAAGCGCAAACAGUUGAAAACCAAGGCAGUUCACGGUCUAAUCCAGCAGCUGCUGCUGCUGCAGCCGCUGCAGCCGCUGCGGCAGCGACUGCAGCCAAGGCUCAAAGUGUUGCCCCAGUGGGAUCUUAGCAGGAAGAGGCCGGAGUAAGACAUGCACCAAAAUAAUUAUUACCAGAUUUACAUGUGCAUAUUGUAGUUUAUUCUGUUACCCAGGGUUGAUUGAUUUUCGUCCGCUUCAGCCUCUGGAUUGAACUCGUAAUCUGGGUCAAGUUGAUUCCAUAUUGUAGUGAGUCAAAGCUAGCGUAGAAUGCUGUCAUUGAUAUAGUGCCCGUUUGUUUUCCAUUUCUUACCAACCUAAUCACCUUUUUCAGUGGGAAAAAUAAAAAACACGUUUUGUAUCGGUGACUGUGUUUGGGUAAGAUUUUUCUAAUAAUGAGAAUCCAAGGAGAAAAAGAAGCUAAUUUCACCGCUUCUCUUGAAGUUGUGAUUAGUUGCUUCUUAAAACAAUGGGACUAAAGGUCUCUUGACAAAACUGAAAACACGAAAAAUCUUUCCUACAAAAAUGUCUCUUAAUAACUUACUAAAUGACAAAGUAUGGCCCUCACUCUUCACUGUCCCCUUCCUUUUAGCGUUUUCUCCUCCUCAGGAGUGCUCCCAAAUUCCAGCCGUUCGAUCGACCGUACGUUGCAUGGAAAAUAUGUAAUCAUAUGGUUCGUAAUGGAACUUGUAUCGGGUGAUUGGAAGGAUUUAAAAGGGAAGAAAUUUAAGACGACCAAUAGUUAAUACACAUCACAUUGUUAUCUUGAUGUCUUUUGAAACUAAAACGGUAGUUUAUUUUUUAAAGCAUAUAGCCAUAACAGUUUGUGGAGAAUUUACAUACAUCUGAAUAAGAUCCAACCAUUAUUAGUUAGUUUUCAAUUUGUUCAACUAUGAAUCUAUGAUUUCUUGCACCUGCUCUAAUCUGUCAGUUACAUUUAUUUGUGCUUCAGUAGCAAGGAAUGAAUCAGAAUAUAGACAGCUCAGAUGGUCAGAAUAUUAUUAGGUAGGAGUUAUUUAUCAGUGAAUAAGUUUGAUAUCAUGAUCCUGACUCGUGUAACACCUGGGUUCUCUGGUGCUGACCUUGCAAACUUGGUUGAUGUUGCUGCUGUCAAGCCUGCCAUGGAUGAGUAGUGAAGUUCGACUUGCGACUCACUACUACAAUGAUACUAUGAGCUCCGAAGCUACGAUGCUUAUUGACAAAAAAUUUGCUCUGGUAGGAUCUCAGCCGGAAAAGUGAUUCAUGCAGCAAAAUUACCAUUACCGGAUUGAAACAUGCAGAUUGUAGCUUAUUCAAUUUUUCAGGGCU
rnacentral:lncRNA from 1 species